UACGUAGGGUGCAAGCGUUAAUCGGAAUUACUGGGCGUAAAGCGUGCGCAGGCGGUGAUGUAAGACAGUUGUGAAAUCCCCGGGCUCAACCUGGGAACUGCAUCUGUGACUGCAUCGCUGGAGUGCGGCAGAGGGGGAUGGAAUUCCGCGUGUAGCAGUGAAAUGCGUAGAUAUGCGGAGGAACACCGAUGGCGAAGGCAAUCCCCUGGGCCUGCACUGAUGCUCAUGCACGAAAGCGUGGGGAGCAAACAGG
rnacentral:rRNA from 1 species